rnacentral:rRNA from 1 species
UACGUAGGGACCAAGCGUUGUCCGGAAUCAUUGGGCGUAAAGAGCGCGUAGGCGGUCCGGUAAGUCCGCUCUGAAAGUCCGGGGCUCAACCCCGGGAGGCGGGCGGAUACUGUCGGGCUAGAGUCCGGAAGAGGCGAGUGGAAUUCCUGGUGUAGCGGUGAAAUGCGCAGAUAGUCAGGAGGAACACCAAUGGCGAAGGCAGCUCGCUGGGACGGUACUGACGCUGAGGCGCGGAAAGCGUGGGGAGCAAACAGG